GCACUGGUGGUUUAGUGGUAAAAUCCAUCGUUGCGUAAGUGAACUUUCGCUCUAAGCAAGUCUAAUAGGCAUACUGACAUUACCUAGCAUCGAUGGGCCCCGCGUUCGAUUCGCGGUCAGUGCA